rnacentral:rRNA from 1 species
UACGGGGGGCGCGAGGGUUAUCCGGAAUCACUGGGUUUAAAGGGUGCGUAGGCGGGCUGAUAAGUCAGGGGUGAAAGCUCACGGCUCAAACGUGGAAUUGCCUUUGAUACUGUUAGUCUUGAAACGGGUGGAGGUUGGCGGAAUAUGGCAUGUAGCGGUGAAAGGCAUAGAUAUGCCAUAGAACACCGAUUGCGAAGGCAGCUGACUGGACCCGAUUUGACGCUGAGGCACGAAAGCGUGGGGAGCGAACAGG